rnacentral:tRNA from 1 species
GGGAUUGUGGCUCAGGGGUAGAGCAUUUGCCUCAUAUGCAUGAGGCACUGGGUUUGAUUCUCAGCACCA